AGGCUUGCUCCAAUAUACUGUAGAGCUCAGUGGCGUCGCAAUCCAAGUGCACUCGAAACUGCAUUUAUUGUUAAAAAAUCUUUGAUGCGAGCUAGUUCACAGUCUUGUUCUUGGAGUCCGUUGCCGCCCGUGGACGGGAACGGACGAGUUGAGUACGUAUUGCGCACUUUGUUUGGAUUGCUUUGGAUUCACAAUCUUUGUCUGGUGUCAUCAAUAUUUGCAAUCAAAUAUUUGAAUAAAGACUCAUUCAGUUUAUGACAGUGAGAGUGUGAUUGAGCCAUGUUCCUCAGUCAGUGCCAAUUCAAACCGUAGAAUACAACGCACUCGUGAUGAUCCUGAGUUGACAUUACUCUCGAUCCGCGCAAUAAAUACCGCCUGUAAAAGUGACCGAAACAUGGACAUUGCGGGAAACGGUGUAGACGCGUUGGAUCCGCGUAUACAGAUCGAGUUGGAAAACUUGAACAAUGCAACAGACGAUAUAAAUAAAUUGGAAACUGAAUUGGAUGAAGCUCAUACUGCUUUUAGACAGCUUCUUUCUGAUACGACAAGGAGAUUGAAAGAAAUUACUGAUAAACUUGGUAUUAGUUGUAUUGAAAAAGCGAGAUGUUACUACGAAGCACUGGAGAUGGCUCGUCAAGCUCAGGUGCAAUGUCAGCAACAAGCGCAGCUGUUUCAAAGAGCCAGCGAAAUUCAUGCAGCUGCAAAAGAAACGGUUGCUUUGGCCGAAGCACGAUUUAUGUCUCAUCAGCAUGAGUGGAAUUUCGAUCAGGCAUGGCAGGAUAUGCUCAAUCAUGCUACUAUGAAAGUCAUGGAUGCUGAAAAUCAGAAAGCUGAAUGUGGUCGAGAACAUCAUAGAAGAGCGAUGCUGUUUCAUGAUGCUGAGAAGAAAUUAUUGCAAUUAGAAGAAAAGCAUCGACGUUCAAUAAUAAAAGCACGACCGUAUUUUGAGGUGAAAGCUCAAUGCGAUCAGAUGUUAGCAACGCAAAAGGAAAGAGUAGAGUAUCUGCAGCAAACCGUUAAAGAAGUUAAACGUAAUUAUGCCACAAGUCUUCGAACAUUGGAGAACAUUAGUAAUCAGAUACAUCAACAACGAAAAGAUGAUAUUGUAGCUAAUGGACCGCGAGAACCUGGUGUCGGUGCCGAACUAAUAGGUUCAGAUAUAUGUCAAAAAUAUGAGAACGAAUUUAACAAUUUCAACAGUCGUAAAAUAUCUCCAAUUAGAUACAACCAAAUUGAAAACAAUGAAAAACCACAUAAUAUCAAAGAAUUUUGUUUGACAAAGGAGAAGACGGAACACAUUGAUAAGAGGUCUGUGGAUGGCAGCGAAAGCAAGUUCACGCAAUGGGAGUUAGAAUUGCAAGCUAGUAUAGAAAAAUUAAAUCACUUAUCAAUCGGAAAUCCCUUGCUUGCCCGGAAACGAGAUGCGCAAAGUUCUUCCGAUCUACGGAGCGUCGUUGAUGUCAGCAGGGCGAAUAAUUUCUUACCCACCGAAAUAUGGCAGAGGCAACUUCAAAGAUCGAUUAAAGAUCCGAAGACUUUUGAGAAAAAUGAACUUAUCGAUAGCAGCUCUUCGCAUUUGCAAAGAUCAUACUCGAUGAUUAAUUCGAUGCUAACAUUACAAGGUGCAUCGAUAUUCGCUUCAACAAGCAAUACUACAAAAUCGCUAAAUAAUAGUCCAGUAAAUAGAAGUACAUCGAAUUUCGAGAAUAGGAAUAUUGAGAAAGCAGGAAGCGCAGAUAUGUUGAAAUAUGUGCCAAAUAGAAUUUGUCAACUCGACAUUAAGAACAAGAAAGCACAGAGCAGCUGGAAUAUUAACGAUUAUUCUAAUCACCUUGAUGUUACGAGUGAAGAACAAGAAAAAAAUAAAUGUAGUAAUAUAAACGAUAGUUUAGUCAAUACAAGUCAUGUACAAUCUACGAAUUUAUCUACGAUGACAGAUUCUUUCAAUAUCAAGUUCCUGCCUGCAGAGCCUAAUUUAUCAGAAGGACAUCAUCCUUUUGAUUCAGAGAAUCAUUCUCUAACGUUUCCUGGCAUUAGCCAACAUCUUAUGAGCUCACAAAACGAUAUUACACGAUUGCAAGCACAAUUUAGCUCUAAUACUUUACAAAAGAAUACAUCGUGCAGUGCCAAUUCCAGUCCGGUGAAGCUAAAGAAUCCAUUAAUAUCGUCUGCUAAAUCCUCGAAUAGCGAGAAUAUGGGACGGUUCAUCGAAGAAUCUAUCCCUAAACAUUUUGCUAGAAAAACUAAAGAGUUACCGUUACUAUCGCUUUUCGGACCAACAUUCGCGUUGUCGGCGAUCAAAGGCAAAAGUUGCAGCAUGAUCGAUUUGGAUGAUAAACAAAAUCUAAAGACGUUACUUGAUAAUUCUCAUCUAGGCAAUAUACAAGCGAUUAGCGCGGAAAGAUUGGCGAACGUCAGACCCAAAUUGGUAAACAAUUAUCCAGAGACGAAGAAGACGGACGAUAUUAAGAAAUAAGUACAAUACAAUAAGAUAGAUUAUUUGUGAUAAGCAAUUUCUGCGUCUAACAUAUAGAUAUCGCGGCGGAACACAUCCAUUAUGACAUUACACAAAUGUAUGAAAGCUAAAGAUUGAUAACCGUC
rnacentral:misc_RNA from 1 species